AACCACUAUGGCCUGCUGGUC
rnacentral:siRNA from 1 species